rnacentral:lncRNA from 1 species
GGUCCCAAGGAAGCUCGGAGUGCUUCGUUGGAAGUUUUUGGACGUAAGAACACGGAGAUCGACAAGUUCAAAGUUUGGCCGGAGCUUUCGAGGCGUUUUUCCGGAGAAUCCCCGGCGAGUUAGGAGUCGAGGUAGGUAUCAAUCUCUUCGUCUCGUCAAGUACUACAACUUUCCUUUUUGUUUCACUCAAUUUCGUUGAGUAUUGAAGAAGUUAUACUCAUUUGAAAAAUACCCAGUUUCCGGCGACCUCCGAGGUUUUCGAGGCAGUUUCCGGCCAAACCACGGAGAACUAGGUGUUGUGCAAGGUACCAUUAUCUUUUUCUCUUCAAGGGCUACAACUUUCGUUUUUGAAUCACUUGAUUUCGUUGAGAAAUGACAAAGUUAUGGCAAUUUUGAAAAAACUGCCCGGAAAACGGCCGCCGGAAAAACCAGUCCGGCGACCCAAGGAAGAAGAAGGUGCUACAGUAAAAAUAAAAAAUAAAAAUAAAAUUAUUUUAAAAAUAUGUCGACGUCCGUGACGUCGAGUAGAUCACUGUGGUAUAUUCAUAUACCUAAAUUGAACACCGUAUGAGAAAGUUAUUGAAGAUUGUUGGUUAGGUGUUCAAAUAACGUUUUAUAGUUUUCACAUUUAGGUGAAAAUGUGAAUUGAUGAUCCGACCGUUGGAUCAUCACCAAACUUUGAUACGUUAUAGUACGUAAUAUUUGAGGAUUAUUGGAACUUACGGAUUGGGAAUCCGAGUUACGGAUCUUCUGGAAUUGGAAUUUUAAGUCCAUAAUAUAAAAUGUUAACCGUCACUUAGUUUUGGAAAUUGACGGAAAUCCAACCGUUGGAUGGUAAUGAAAUUUUAGGAUGUUGUCCUAGAGGUAUAAUGUGGACCUCUGGAAGUUAUGGAUUUAAAAUCUGAGUGGCAGAUCUUCCGGAUCGAACUACGUAGUGACGUAUUUUAUAUAAGUUAAAUAUUCUAUCGAUAUGAAUUCUGAGGUUGGAUUUGAUUACUAUUCUAGGCGGCGAUCGUCGUGACGCCUUGAUGUGUGGUGCUAGGGAGUUGUUGGAUGAACUCCAGGUGAGUGGGCAGUUUUGUCUUCCGUAUAUAUAUAUAUACUUAACGUUUUCCCAGAAAUUGAAAAUGCAUGAAAUUAUGUUUAAAAUGAAAUGCAUAUGAGUUAUGUGGAAAAACGGGAAGUGAAAUACCAUGCAUAGAAUUGAUAUGAAAAGUAUAUAGAAAUGUGAGUUGAAAUGCCAUGCAUGAAUUAAUAUAUGAUGCAUAUGUAUGAAUUGGUGCGGUGGACGCACAGGUAAGAAUUGAUUUAUGAUGCAUAUGUAUGAAAUGGUGCGGUGGACGCACAGAUGAGUAUUUAAUUACUGUUAUGAUGAUGAUGAUAUAUAUUGAGCUCAAAUCCUGCACCAUGGUUUAGUGCUUAUAGUAUUCACCGCAUCGCACGCUCGCCUUGGAUCCAAGUAGAUGCUAGUCGUACAGUCCACGUGGAGUGGGUACGACAGACCAGUCGCGAGAGUGUUAGUGAGAUUCCGACUGGUGGGUGACCUUAGAUUAUGUGCACAGAUGAUUUAUGAGAAGCACUAGAGCGUAACUUGUGUGCAGAAGGCCGGACGGGUCACAGAGGUGACUCCGGUAGAGUGAUAAUGAUAGAUUUUGAGCUCUAGGUUCAACCGUAUAGGGCUAUUAGAGGGCCUACGGUUGAUUACUUUCUUGCACCUGAUAUGAUUAUGUUGAUGCAUUCAUACCUUAUUACUGUUGAGAUGAUGUGGCAUGGCAUAAUUAAUAUGAGAAAUGUUGAGAUGACAUGGCAUGGCAUGAUUGAUAAAGAGAUAAUGUUGAGAUAGUAAAAAUGAAGUUUUGAGAAUAUAUAUGUAUAUUUAUAUUUUACAUUUCUGGGAAAGUAUACAGGUUUUACGGAGAGGGGUUACAACGUUUUGAGAAAUGUUUGGAUUUGGAAAAGAAUUGUUUUACUGACCCACUCAAUUUUGGUUUUGCGCCCCUCCAGGUUCAGGAAUCACAAAGGUGUGGUGACUACGAGGAAUUCGACGGUGUUCUGACAGAUUGGACAAAAUUAGGACUCACCUUCGGGUGUAUCAAUUUAAAUUGUAUCUUAAAGCUUCCGUACUGUGCAAAUGGUUACGUCACUCUCACGUGACGGCCAGCAUGCCCUCCUUCGGGACGAGGUGUGUCAGUUGGUAUCAGAGCAUGGUUGCAAUCUUGGACAUCUUGAGAAGUUUCUAGUGAAUUCUGUCAGAACUACACCGCCUCGUAGCAAACCACGUAGUUAGAGGAACUUAGUCUCCCUGAUUUAGCGGGUUAGGGGAAACUAUUCUUAUGGUGAUUCAGUAUAUUAGAAAAAUGGACAUUUUAAGACGGGUUAUGAGUUGAAUUUGAAUCACUUAAGAGAAAUGAUGAACCUGAGGGAGCGGAGUGACGGUUUAACCAAUUGGAAAAGAUGUUUCAGAUUAUGCAAGUCAAAGGAAAUUUCCUUCUGACAGGUGGGUCGAGACGACUACCUGGUUUUGGUUAUGAAUUUGUAUCCUGGUGGAAACAGGAGUAUGAAUUGUUGUCACCAGAGGAAUCAGUCGAUUGAGAAUUGUUUAAGGACUUGUUUAAAGGAAAAGUUUAUCCCUCCGGCAUUUAUCGAUGGUAGUAAACAAGAGUUUACAAAUAUGAGACAAGGAAGGUGAUGAUCGAGGGAUAUUAUAGAAAGUUUUCAGACUUGCCUCGUUCCAUCCAGAUAUUGUUGUUAAUUUGGUGGAGGUGUUAUGUUGUUUUAAGCUGGGUGGCAAAAAGGGAAGUGGUAUUUUGGGUGACCACUAUCCAUUGUAGUUCUUAUCAGGAGUAUGCUAGAUGUUGUUGAAUCUUGAGGACUCUGAGAACAUGAGCAACGAGAAUAAAGAAGAAUAAGAAAUGAAUGGGAAUUAAAAGAAGACGAUAAAGUUAAUGAUUCGUCAUAUCAAGGAUAUAGAAAGAUUUAGAGCUUCGAAAGAAGUGAAGCUAGAGUUAAUUCUUCUAGCUGAGGUUUUAAUGUCGCUGGUCAGAAUAAAAGUGAUGGAUAUACUGGUAAUCCCAGAUAUUUGAGACAAGGUGUCUCGAGUAAAGGAAAUGUACCUUGUGCUGCAGGUACAAAAAAUUAACACUUUGGGAAGUGUGAAAUUAAUGAAUGUGUUUAUGUGAACAGAGGGGACACAGAAUUGUGAAUCGUCCCUAGAAUCAGUUGUACUCAAUAAUUUUCCAUGAUAUCAUAGUGUCGAUUCAGAAGAGUUAUAAACUUAGUAGUUUGGUCGGAUUGACUGUGAGUACAGAGAGAGAUUUUGAUGAGUUAUAUGUUCAGCUGUACAGACCAUGAGAAGUGGAUUCGACUGACACAUGCGAAAUUUGUGAGUUAUAGGCUCGGCCGUACCGACCACGCGGAGUGGAUCCGGCCGACGUAUUAUUGAGAUAAGAGUUGAAUCAGUCGUAUUGAUCAUUCUAGUUGACUUCGGCUGAUAUAUUUCUUAUUAUGUAUGUUAUUACCUUGAGAGUAGUAAAUAAAUGUAGUUGAGAUGAGUGUAUGUAUUUUGCAUUGAGUGACAAAAUAGUAAUGUUAUAUCUUUGAGAGUGGUUGCCUACUUAUCGAGACAACGAUGAUUUAUCAGUAUUGCGGGCUGCAGACCGUAAUAUUAAUAACUCAUUCGUGGAUUCGUUAAGUAAGUAAACCGGUAGAUUAUUUUGUACUUAUUCAGAAUGCUUAGUAGUAAUAGAGUAUGUAUUGUGUCGGUUAAAUUAUUUCCAUUAGAUUGGUUGGUUAUAAUUGUGACAAGACGGAAUGUUAAGGGAAACCAGUACUUUCCAUCGAUCUGGAUGACCAGAGAUUACUUUUGUAAGUAUGCAAAGUGAAGUGAGUUCAGCCAUUAUUUAUGCUGUGAAAGCAAAGAGAUUGUUUUGAAAGGCUGUCAAAAAAAUACUUAGCUCAUGUGGUGCUAAAUGAUGUUGUUUGGAGUAGUGUGAAUAAUGUCGAAAGGGUUAGACUUUUCUUGAUGUCUUCUCUGAAAGUAUACCUGGAUUGUCUUCAGGCAGAGAUAUGAGGUUCAUUAUUGAUUUGUUGCCAGGUAUAAAUUUAUGUUAAAGAUUGGUUCAUGAUGAGUUAAGGGAAUUGGAAAUUCAGUUGAGAGAAUUGGUUGAUAAAAGUUUUAUUCAACCUAGUACAACACUUUUGAGGAGCCCCAGUUUGUUGGUGAGGAAGAAAAUGGAUCUUGAGACUGUUCAUUGAUUAUAGACAAUGGAGUCGGGUAACGAUUGAGAACCGUUAUCCAUGGUGAUGUACUGAUGUUUAUUUAACCAGCUCAGAAGUAAUUGCGAAGAUUCAAAGAUUGAAUUGAGAUCUGGUUACUACCAAUUGAAUAUUAUAAGUGACGUUGAUCAUAAGAUGGUUUCUGGACUUGUUAUGGUCCUUAUAAAGUUUGGUGAUGCUAUGUGGAUACUCAUGCGGUUUUAUGAGUUAUUGGAUGAAGUAUUCCAAUAAUGCCUUGAUAAAUAGAUAUCAUUUUCAUUGAAGAUAUUCUGGUAUACUCUAAGCCUAGAGCAGAGCAUGUAAACGUAUUAAGUCGGUGAAGCAAAGAUUAAGAGAACGUUGGUUGUAUGCUAAGUUUAGCAAAUGCGAAUGUUGGAUGAAUCAAGUGGCAUUCUGAGAUUGGUUAUAUCUGCUUAAGGUAUUCAAAUGAAUUCUUAAAAGGCAGCAGAAUUGAGAAAUUGGAACAACCACGAGUCGUAAUUGAGAUUUGGAAUUUCUUAGCUUACCAGGCUAUCUUGGAUGGUUGUGAAAGAUUUUUCAGUCAUUGCUUUGUCAUUGACGAGACUGUUGAGAAAAGAGGUUAGGUAUGAGUGGGAAGGAAUUGUAAGCAAAGGAUUCAACAACUGAAGUAUUUCCUCCCUCAUGCACGUAUUUUGGUAUUCCCAGAGAAUAGUGGUAAUCAUAAAUUUUUGGUGAUGUUACAUUAAAUGUUCUUGGAUAUGUACUAAUGCAAAUGUUAGGGUGAUUGCAUACGUUUCACGACAAAUGGAAUCUCAUGAGAUGAAUUACCCUACUAGUGAUUUGGAAGUCACGAUUACCAUCCUUGCUGUGAAGUUAUGGAGACAUUAUAUUUUAGUGAGAAUGCAAGAUUUUACAAAUCAAAAGAGUCUUCAAUAUCCAUUACUUGGAAGGAUUUUGAUAUGAGGCAGCGAAAGUGAAUUGUAUUGCUUAAUGAACAUGAUUGUACGAUCAGGGUGAUCGUAAAGUUUGUUCUAGCUGAAGCACUUGAUAAGAAGACUGCAGUAAGAAUUAAUAUCUAGUACGUUUGCCAAGAGUAUCAUUUUGUGGAUUGAAAACCAACGGAAGAAAAAUUAAGAAUGGAAGAUCGAGAAGAAGUUAUACUUGUUAAGUAACAAGUUAGUACAUUUACCCCAGUGUUGAGUAACAACCUUUCCCAGACAGUGCAACACUACUUAUUUGUUUUAUGGAAAAGAGAAUUGGAUUACGGAACUGCUAAGUUUCUUAAGUAUGUUGGUUGUGCAGUUUCCGAAGUAACGCCAUAAGGACCAUGAAAUGUGUCACGUGAGUCGGUUUUUGAUGACUUGUGAAUGGAAUGUUUCUGGGUAGAGAAAGAUUCGAUCGAGAAAGAGUUUUAGUAGACCCUGAGACUAUGGAUGAGUCUCCUCAAAGUAUUCAGGUGAUUAAGUUAACCUGAAGUAACCAGGAAUGGCAAAAGAGAUCAACAGAUGGAUAUGCCACUAAUCGAGUGUGUAAGGUAAAUGGUUUGAUAUUUUUGGAAAAUUCACCACGAACAGAAAUGAAGAGAAUUGGAAAAGAGACAAGAUAAGAUUUAAACACAUCAGACCGUUUUGAUCAUUAAAAGAAUCAAUGAAGUUGCAUAUAAGUUUGUGAUGCCUUUCAAAAUUGGCUAAGGUGCAUAAUGCAUUAUAUUUCGAUGCGUUGUUGUCACUAGGUGGCAGAUUCGUCACAUGGGAUUCUGGUGCUGCAACUAUUUAGAAUUCAAUUGGAUUCGACUUGAUAAGGAACCAAGGACUACUUUGGAUUGGGAAAAGAAGGUCCUGAGAAUUAAGACAGAGUAAGUGGUAAAAGCUUUGUGAAGGAAAUCAUUCAGUAGAAAAUUAUGUGGGAGAAAGAGAAACGGAUGAGAGAGAUUUACCCGAAGCUAUUGUUGGAGUAUGGUUGAUUUAGUUGAUUGCUGGAAUUUCGGGGACGAAAUUCUAUAAGGAGGGAAGAUUGUCACAGCCCGUCCUGGAAUUUUAAUUCCGAGGACGUGAGAUGACCAAUGUGACCUUAAACGGGAUUAAGGUGUGUAAAUGUAUGACAUUUGUUUUACUUUAAGAUCCUAACUAGGGUUAGAUUUAUAUUUGUAUGUGUUAAUUUGUGCUUGGACUUAGGUAGGGCCUCCUACCCUGAAUUCCCUCCCUAAAACCCGUAACCUUUCUUCUCUCUUCUUCUUUCAUUCCAGACUCUCUCAUUCUCUCUCUUACUCUCGAACUCACGGCAACCACCAAGAACCACCACAAUCUUGUACCAACGUUCCAUUUAAGACCACCAUCGUGAUCCUGGGGACUUCACGAGCACGGGGAUACCAAUUUUCAGGUGAGUUUCACUUCGAAAACCCUAGUUUCUAAAAGUUGCCGUGAGAUGACACUGUUCAUGAGCUUUGAAUUGGUUACGUUUUAGGCUAAAACAAGAUCACAGCGAGUUUAGUAAGGUCCCAAGGAAGCUCGGAGUGCUUCGUUGGAAGUUUUUGGACGUAAGAACACGGAGAUCGACAAGUUCAAAGUUUGGCCGGAGCUUUCGAGGCGUUUUCCGGAGAAUCCCCGGCGAGUUAGGAGUCGAGGUAGGUAUCAAUCUCUUCGUCUCGUCAAGUACUACAACUUUCCUUUUUGUUUCACUCAAUUUCGUUGAGUAUUGAAGAAGUUAUACUCAUUUGAAAAAUACCCAGUUUCCGGCGACCUCCGAGGUUUUCGAGGCAGUUUCCGGCCAAACCACGGAGAACUAGGUGUU